AACGAACGCUGGCGGCAGGCUUAACACAUGCAAGUCGAACGCCCCGCAAGGGGAGUGGCAGACGGGUGAGUAACGCGUGGGAAUCUACCCAGUUCUACGGAACAACAGAGGGAAACUUCUGCUAAUACCGUAUACGCCCUAAGGAGGAAAGAUUUAUCGGAAUUGGAUGAGCCCGCGUAAGAUUAGCUAGUUGGUGAGGUAAUGGCUCACCAAGGCGACGAUCUUUAGCUGGUCUGAGAGGAUGAUCAGCCACACUGGGACUGAGACACGGCCCAGACUCCUACGGGAGGCAGCAGUGGGGAAUAUUGGACAAUGGGCGCAAGCCUGAUCCAGCCAUGCCGCGUGAGUGAUGAAGGCCUUAGGGUUGUAAAGCUCUUUCAGUAGGGAAGAUAAUGACGGUACCUACAGAAGAAGCCCCAGCUAACUUCGUGCCAGCCGCCGCAGUAAAAC
rnacentral:rRNA from 1 species